rnacentral:rRNA from 1 species
AAAGUGGAGCACUCCAUGAGUAGAGUGGCAAACGGGUGAGUAACGCGUGGGCGACCUACCUCAGAGUGGGGGAUAACCUUCCGAAAGGAGGGCUAAUACCGCAUGACAUACCGUGUUUGGAUACACGGAUAUCAAAGCCGGGGAUCGCAAGACCUGGCGCUUGGAGAGGGGCCCGCGUCCGAUUAGCUAGUUGGUGAGGUAAUGGCUCACCAAGGCUCCGAUCGGUAUCCGGCCUGAGAGGGCGGACGGACACACUGGAACUGAGACACGGUCCAGACUCCUACGGGAGGCAGCAGUGGGGAAUUGUUCGCAAUGGGCGCAAGCCUGACGACGCAACGCCGCGUGGAGGAUGAAGACUUUCGGGUCGUAAACUCCUUUCGACCGAGAUGAAUUCCCCUCGACCUAACACGUCGAGGGGGUGACAGUAUCGAGGGAAGAAGCCCCGGCUAACUCCGUGCCAGCAGCCGCGGUAAUACGGGGGGGGCAAGCGUUGUUCGGAAUUACUGGGCGUAAAGGGUUUGUAGGUGGCUUGCUAAGUCAGACGUGAAAUCCCUCAGCUUAACUGGGGAACUGCGUCUGAUACUGGCGAGCUUGAGUGCAGGAGAGGAACGCGGAAUUCCAGGUGUAGCGGUGAAAUGCGUAGAUAUCUGGAGGAACACCGGUGGCCAAGGCGGCGUUCUGGACUGCAACUGACACUGAAAAACGAAAGCCAGGGGAGCAAACGGGAUUAGAUACCCCGGUAGUCCUGGCCCU